rnacentral:rRNA from 1 species
AGUCACUGACAUUAGAUACCCGGUAGUCCAGGGUGUAAACGCUGCAGACUUGGUGUUGGAAGUCCUUUGGGGGCAUUCAGUGCCGGAGAGAAGUUGUUAAGUCUGCUACUUGGGAGUACGUCCGCAAGGAUGAAACUUAAAGGAAUUGGCGGGGGAGCACCGCAACGGGAGGAGCGUGCGGUUUAAUUGGAUUCAACACCGUAAAACUCACCAGGGAAGACUGUUACAUGAAAGCCGAGAUGAAGACUCUGCUAGAUUUUCAG